GAUUCUCCCGCCUUAUCCAUAGGAAAAAUGGAGAAAAACGGAACGGGACUACGUAUUUUUUCAUCAGCGAGCAAUGUUAGAUCAUUUCGCUGUCAAAAAUCAGCAUAGCAUUGUCACGCAUCCAAAGUUUUAUUCAAUGUUUAUCACCAGACAGUUCAUUAAUUCACAGAGUGGGAGUCUGUGGAGUGUUAAAACUGAAUCAUGGCGGCCGCACCACCACCAACUGGUUGGGCAAGUGUCUUUCUCGUCACCUGGAUUACUGCACCAUUGGCAUCCUGCCUGUCAUUUUCUCUGCUGUCCAGUCAAGGCAAGGAGAGGACGAGAGCAUGACACUCCAUGAAAUAUGUCUACAGUGCUGGCCGGCCGGGGCAGAUGUCUUCGUGCACGGAUGAAAAAUGUACCAGGACACAAAACAUGCAUGCAUAAAGCCUCUCAUUUUUCGCCAUGAUGAACACAAUCAUGUAGACGUGGGGCCAUUUGUACAUGUCACGGGGCCGUCCAGUAACAGAAGGGCAAGAGACGGACUGCAGUGUCCACCGCCUGGCAUUGAGGAAGAAGGUAAAGGUCAUCUGUUCAUUAUACUGUGCUGUGCGGUGGGCACACUCACUCAAUUCAUACAGUACAGCAGCCAUGUCCAGUCAUAAGGAGUCCUCUUUUUUAACAUUUAAUACUGUUUUAGUGGAAAAAUAUCCUCUUUCCCUUUCUGACUCUUCAUCUCUCACUCUCUAACUCUCUCAUUCUGUCUCAUUCUCUCUCUCUCUCUCUCUCUCUCUCUCUCUCUCUCUCUCUCUCUCUCUCUCUCUCUCUCUCUCUCUCUACAUGUACCUCUAUCUCUUCUUUCAGACUGCUCCAGUUUAUACCUGUAUUAUGUACAGUAUGUAUUUGUAAUGUGUUCUGUCAGAUUUGUAAUAAUGUGAUUCAAAAUUGUUUUCCAUAUAUUUGGAUCCGCUUUUAUUUGACAUUAAA